rnacentral:rRNA from 1 species
CAAGUCGAACGCGAAAGCCCCGCAAGGGGCAAGUAGAGUGGCAAACGGGUGAGUAACACGUGGGUGACCUGCCUUCGAGCGGGGGAUAACGUCCCGAAAGGGACGCUAAUACCGCAUGACAUCCUGCCUUUGAAGAGGUGGAGAUCAAAGCUGGGGAUCGCAAGACCUAGCACUCGAAGAGGGGCCCGCGCCUGAUUAGCUAGUUGGUGGGGUAACGGCUCACCAAGGCGACGAUCAGUAGCCGGCCUGAGAGGGCGGACGGCCACACUGGGACUGAGACACGGCCCAGACUCCUACGGGAGGCAGCAGUGGGGAAUUGUUCGCAAUGGGCGCAAGCCUGACGACGCAACGCCGCGUGGAGGACGAAGAUCUUCGGGUCGUAAACUCCUUUCGAUCGAGACGAAUGGCCUUCGGGUGAACAAUCCGGAGGAAUGACGGUACCGAGAGAAGAAGCCCCGGCUAACUCCGUGCCAGCAGCCGCGGUAAUACGGGGGGGGCAAGCGUUGUUCGGAAUUACUGGGCGUAAAGGGCUCGUAGGCGGCCAACUAAGUCAGACGUGAAAUCCCUCGGCUUAACCGGGGAACUGCGUCUGAUACUGGAUGGCUUGAGUUUGGGAGAGGGAUGCGGAAUUCCAGGUGUAGCGGUGAAAUGCGUAGAUAUCUGGAGGAACACCGGUGGCGAAGGCGGCAUCCUGGACCAACACUGACGCUGAGGAGCGAAAGCCAGGGGAGCAAACGGGAUUAGAUACCCCGGUAGUCCUGGCCCUAAACGAUGAAUGCUUGGUGUGGCGGGUAUCGAUCCCUGCCGUGCCGAAGCUAACGCAUUAAGCAUUCCGCCUGGGGA